rnacentral:lncRNA from 10 species
GAUUGAUUUUCUCCCUGCUUGUGAGAUGAAACCAGGGAGUGUUCUACCCUUCACAAGCAAACUGCAGCUUAAAUUACAGUCUGACCUUUGGCUUGCUGGUGGGGCAACAUUUCCCUGACAUGGCCUUGUCAAACUGUCCUUUCUCUUUGCAAACCUCAAGAUAGGACGUAAUGUGCCAAGCAAGUUCUUCCAAAAAUCUUGCAGAGAACAAGCUGGCAACUUUUCCAGUAAUUUGUGGUUGUGAAAGAUGAAUAGUAGACAUUUCAGGAAAGGGAAGUGUCCUGGGGCAAUGCGUUAUAUAGAUAUUCACUUCUGGACUGGAAAUCUCAUUCUUGAGAUUUCACUGACCAGCAACACUCCAGUGAAACUGCAGUCAAAAUUUAUGGAGUCUGCAGUAAAUAUGAAGCUAAAGUAACAGGCAAUGAAGAGCUCACCUGCUGCCUCCAGGGCUGCUUAACAUGCUGCAACCAGGCUGAAUGGUGCAUAUUGGACUGGAACCUGGAUCCUUGAGUAAAUGAAAGGAGAAAAGCCCCUAUCCAGUAUAUCAGAUUUGUGUAAACCAAAAAAUAAACUUUCAAUAUGGCAUGAAAGUGAGCCACCUGGAAGCACAUCUUCAGCCCCUGUGGACCCUUUAGAUGACUGCAGGCCCUGCUGACAUCUUGACUGAAACCUCAUGAGACAGCUAGAACCAGAAUCGCCCAGAGAGAAGAACAUCAAAGGUGCGGGUUUAGGGCCCAGAAAGCCACUGGCCCCUUAAUAUCCAGAAAAGGACAAAAACUCACGGGAGUCAAGCACUGUUUGCCUGGAAGAAGAAAGAUAAAGACACAGACAAGCCCUGCUCCCCCACCAGCCAAAACUACUAUUCUACCUGUUUCCUGAUUCUGACCCACGUAUAUUCACUUGUUUCAUCAUUUUCUCAUUCAAAAAUAUAUUCAUUCAAUUAAUAAUGAUUUACUGAGUGUGUAUUAUGUAGCCAGUGCUUGCAUGGAACUCAGAUUACAGCUGGAAAUGAAACAGAUCUGGUCUUACACCCUCUGUACAUCUUCUUCCUCCUGUUACCACUCUAUCCUGUCUUCAACCUCAACUUCACUACUAAUUUCAUACUUAA